AAAUACCUUAAGCGCAUCUAGGACACGUACUUAAGCAUGGGUCUAUAUAUUCAAUAACUUAGCAAUGUUACGAAAUAUUUAGGAGGAAUAGUUUUAUGCACUCUUUAAUACUUCAAAUUUUACUUCCGUCUAUAUCUGUUGAAUUAAGCAUUCAAAAUGACAAUUGACAACAUUAAAACAAUGUAAAUCUAUUUGGAAGUACUAAUUUUUGUUUUCGAUUUCUUAAUUAGGAAAACAAAAAGUGCCUACUUGCAUUUUCACAGCCUUUUUCUUUGGAUUCUGAAUGUAUACAUUAGCACCCUGUUGAUAAUUCUUUCACGUAGGUAAAAAAGACAUCAUUAAGCUAUUGAUUUUAAAUGGCCGUAGAAAAUUCAAACUGUCGUAGGUCAGACAACACUUCUCUAAAGAUGAA